UUUAAAUGUUCUACCCCACCCACUCUCCUCUUGCUGCCCUCACUCUGGAGCAGUUAACACUCACUGGAUGGAGCUGUAUUUGUCUGCAUCUCCCACUUAAACACAAAGUCUGUGAGGGGCUUUGUUACGGAGGUGUCCCUGGAGCCUGGCAGGUUGUCAUCAGUCAGAAGAGUGAGUGAAUGAAUCCGGGAGGAAUGCGUGAAGGAAGGCGCACACUUCCGGACGCUCUAGAAGACUGCCCACUGCCAACACCCGCUGAGCAUGCUGAUCUGGCUUCGCUAUUUAUUUUCCUAGUCCAGGACCACUCAAGACUUGAGCUACAAACUAUACCAUGACACAUACCACGAUGGAGAAUUGAACCUGCUCUCAGGAGUAGAUUCUCAUGGAUGAGUAUCCACUGGCAAGCUAGGUCCUCCCUGAAGGCCUAACUUUCAGAGUCUAGUUUGAUUUGACUUUAGAAAAGGGCAAAAAAAGGUGUGGCUUUUUUUUAAAUUAACAUUCAUUUGUUCUCAAUUCUGAAUCGUCUUCUCCCUUCCUAGCAGCCAGAUGCAUAUCUCACAUGUAAACUGCAUAAACAAGCCCUUAGUCAGCUGUGGUGGAAUUUUCUAGCUGGACGGUUACUGGUACUAUGGUCUCCUGACUUACCCAGAGUGCCUAGGUGACUGUGGGCUGCCGUACAAAUCGAUCCCAGACUUCUCCUGGUCUUUUGUUCCAAUGAAGCUGCCUGCAGCUGUCCACUUUUCUGAGGCCCUCCCUCUUCUCUUAACAUUGCUAUAUAGCUUGUUUCUUUCAUGUUAUAAGCAGAGAUAGACUUGUUCAAGUGUCUAGGGGGCUGCACAUUAAAAAACAAACAAACAAACAAACCCCCCCCCAAAAAAAAAACUGAUUGGUCGUGAGCUGUGCAAAGCAAAACCAUUUCAUUUCCUAGAAAGCUGUUUCCACUCAGCAGGCCACAGUUAACAUUGCAUGGCCAUACCCACCGCCCAGCGGAAAGGCUGGGCACUACAUUCACAGGAGGGAACUGUUCUUAUAAAGGAGGAGUUCCAAUCUGCUUCAAGAUCAUUCGGCAGCUGGAUGCUGUUUCUUACCUGUGAACCGCACCACUCUCCUGGAGAGCUACUGACCAAAUGGAGCCCCGGGGGAUCACGUCAUGCAACACUCAUCUCAGGCUCUGCCUGAUGGAGGCACACGGAGCACAAAGGCAAAGGGAGAUCAUCAGAGCCCCACAACCAAAACCAAAGCAGAAAUCAGCAGAACUUGAGAACCCCAGCCUUUGUGGAUACAUCACAACUCCUGCAUCUAUGCCUCAGAGAACACCACAGAAGAGGGUGCAUAACAGAAGAGAGAUGAGACUGGAAACUACAUGGAGGAAGCCUGGUACUAGAGGCCUUUGAAAUGCGGUACUUAGUCCCUGAUGCCUUCCUUGCUGUUUCCAGUCUUCCACAAGUUCACAGGUGGUGCAUGGCUACGGUGUGAGAGAAUGCAAGUCUAAGCCACGAGAGAACACUCUGGAGUCACGGCACCAUCACUAUUGAUGUGACAACAAGGCCCAGCCAGUUCCUUCACCACCCACCACAGAUGACCGAAGCUUCCAAACAUAGCAGCAGAAAGUGAGAGGACCACAUCUUCUCUCCUCUCCACGUCUUAACACCUCAUUUUUAGAAAGAGAUUGAAGAGGGCAUUUGGGAAGCAGUUGGAUGUGUUCAUCCAGACCUGGCUCUUUAGACUCACCCCCUACCACUACAGCUGGAACACCCCAAGCGCCCCGAGAAUGCCCAUUUAUUCCUGUGAGUUGGGGGUUCCCCCAGUCCAGUGUAAAGCAAGGCUCCCAUGCUUCAGGGGUGUUUUAAACUUCUGCUUUCCAUCUCCCGCUACAGAAAAGCCGUCAUAAGACAGGCUACCCCUUUGGAGCUUUUUAUUACUGUGUUUUGAGAUUAGCCAGCUGACGAGUGGCUUCUACAAGACUUUCCACACCCCUUAGUUUUGGCUAAUUCACCCACCCCAUUAUCCUGGUUCUUCCCCUCACCUGCAAUAGUGGCCUGACUCUAAAGGGAUAACCAACUUCUUUCUGAUUGGAUCUGAGGCCUGUUCCACAGAAGAGAAUUUCAUCCUGGGUACUGUAAUUUUGAUCAAGAACCUGCUAUUGUUAAUUUUGCUAAAUCGUCACGCUGUCAGAAUGCCUUCUAAACACACAUACAUUUUACACAUAGGUCUGGUCUGUUCUCAGAGAAGCUUCUCUGUGCUGUUAGCAGCCAUCAAUGGAGAGAUGCAUAGCUGGUCAAAGUGCUGAGAUACAGAAUGUCCAGUCCCACCCCCAUAUACCAAGGCUUAGGGAGUGUGGCAGAAGAGAAGGGAGAAAGAAUGAUAGUUCUGAAGGCGGGAAAGAACGCUGUAA
rnacentral:sRNA from 1 species